rnacentral:misc_RNA from 1 species
GGGAUGGUACAGGGGAUAAAAGGUAAUUAUCUGCAUUCAUGAUGUGUCUUCACAUAUAUCCCACAUAUUUACACGUGAACCUUCUUCGUAUUUCAGUUUUCAAUCCUUGUACAUAUAUGGAAAAAGAAAAAAUUAUAUGAAGAGAAGAAAGGAGAUUUCCUUGGCUCCCUUUGUGAUGUGUUAUCAUGCUAUUUACUCAUAGUUUAUGGUGUCAUCUCUUUGGGGAAUAUUAGACUGCCACCAAAACGACCAAGCUUAAUUUAUCUCCAUCCCACUUACUUCAUAUAAUUGAUCUAUGUUUUUAUUAUUUGGCCAUUGAAUACUCAUCUAUUGGGUAGCUUAUUGUUCUGUGUCCCAUAUUUAUAGCUUAGUGUAAUUACCAUGAUGCAGCUUUCAAACAAUUCUUUCCUUUUGGUGUAUUCUUUUGGCUGUAUCAUAUGCUUAUUAUGGUUUUUGAAUUGGCCUUUACAUAAUUUCUAUUAGAUGCCAGAGGUGAUUUAACAAUGCUAGUUUCUUUUACACUGA